rnacentral:misc_RNA from 1 species
UUGUGUUAUAAUCCCCUUGCCAAAGCCUUGAUUUUUGGGAACCCUAAUUUAUACAUGUAUAAACUAAAUGAAGACCUUAGAGCAAUCUUUUUAUUUUACAUCAUAUAUGUUUAUGAUUUUGUUUUGGUUUGAUUUUUUAUUAUUAUUUUUUUUGGUAAUUGCAAGUGUAACCAAAACAUUCCAAAUUAAACUACGCGUCUUGAAUUGUUUCCCCCACAUGUUUGUGAAUAUCCCAUCAUGUUUUAUGAUUUGAGUUGCUAGGUUACUAGAUUCAUUUAUUGGCCAGUCACCUUUGGAGCACGACCAUUCUUCACUGGCGACAUAUAUACCAGGCGGUAUAUAAUGGAUUAUACUGCACGCGUGCUGCUCUGAACUAUAUAUAACAGCUUCUAGUUGUGUAUAUUUAUUUGUAGACAUCAACCACAGUGAUUUUGAUCCAUUGAAAAAAAAAAAAAACUUUUAUUUUUUGACCUCAGCAAUUAUUUAGAAUGGUAUUACAAACCACCUGGUGUGGUUAUGUUGAAUAAAAUUUGAACAGGAGUACAAUAUUAUCUUAGUGGCUACUUAUGAACAUUCCACACAAUUUCUAGGACGCAGCUUCAGGUGUGAACAACUCUGACUUGUUACUGUGUUAUUUGAUUUUUUUAAAUUUUGGUUUAUUUGUAUAAUUUGCUUUUUUUUAAGUAAAUGCUUUUAUUGACUAGCUUUGGAGAUUUUUACAAGUACAUUCUAUUUGUUGUAUUGUUGGUUUUGACAUCAAAGGGAGACUACUUGGACUUGAGGAAAACAUUGAAGAGUAUUUUGUUUUUAUAAUGACUCCUUCUUUCUUCUCUUGCUUUUCGUAAUCAACUUCCAAGUCUUUAUUUGGAAAGAAAAGUCUGCUCUUCAGGCUAUAACAGAAUGCAAACAGCAACUGCAUGCAACAUAGCAAGAGAUGAUAAAGAGGGAUAAAAAUUGUUGAACUCAAGUCCCAAGUGGAAAGGAAAAAAGCUUUUCAAUUGGCAUAAAACAAGACCAAGCACCUAACACUUUAAAGUUUUAGGAACAGGGUCUGUGUUUGCAUGCAGGAACCCCUUGCUGGGCUCCAAGGGGGUCACAUUAUGGAGGCCCAAAAAGGGGUCUCGUGAAGCCAAAACACUGUUGUAAUUUGGAAUCAAAAGAUUGUAGCAUGCAUAUAAAAAUGUUUCUUGUUUAAAGUGCCUUAUUUGGAUGUCAGCUUAUAUUCUGUUAUUUGUUGUUCAUUAAAUGGUCCUGGAAAUUG